rnacentral:rRNA from 1 species
CAGCCGCGCGGGAAUACGAAGGGGGCUAGCGUUGUUCGGAUUUACUGGGCGUAAAGCGCACGUAGGCGGAUCGAUCAGUCAGGGGUGAAAUCCCAGAGCUCAACUCUGGAACUGCCUUUGAUACUGUCGAUCUGGAGUAUGGAAGAGGUGAGUGGAAUUCCGAGUGUAGAGGUGAAAUUCGUAGAUAUUCGGAGGAACACCAGUGGCGAAGGCGGCUCACUGGUCCAUUACUGACGCUGAGGUGCGAAAGCGUGGGGAGCAAACAGGAUUAGAUACCCGUGUAGUCCCUGUCUCUUAUACC